rnacentral:lncRNA from 1 species
UUAUAUUAAUUUAAUCCAACAAUUAUAUAGAGGUUCAUCUUAGAACUCUACUCAAAAGAUAUUUAAUUAGGUAAUAAAAGGCAUAAUACAAAUGAGAAAAAAGGUUCGGGAGAAACUCCUCUUUGAUGUUUCUAGCACUUGUUUUCCUCUUGAACUGUCAAGUUUUGAAUGACUAUUUGAGAAUGGAACGGGUUAUAUUUAUAGACAUAUUUUAUGCUCAGUUUGAGUUGAAAAUUUGUGCUUUUUCCCAAACCUGCAGAGGAAACAGAGCAAAAUCUUGCUUUUUUUUUUCUUUCUCGAAACAAUGGCAACUGACUGAGAGCAACAUGCUCUUUGUUCUAUGUGUUGGGCAUAUGAGGCACGCGUGGGACGCAUGGCCUCAACCUCCGGUGCUAAUUUUGCAUUUUUUUCUCCGGUUCUUCAAAUGUUUUCCUUCAUCGAUUUGGUCAUGGGAUUGAAUUUCCCCACUUAAUGUCUUCAAAGCCUUCUUACAUAUUGAUGAAUUUCAUUCCAUGUCUUUCAAAACUUCCAUUAGGAGUCAUAAACACCUAUGAAAUUGUCUAGUUCAAGUAAAAAAUGAAAUUGAAUGACGUGAUUGAAAACAUUACAAAAUGUACGUUAGACCAUGAACAACUUCUCUAAAACUCUCUUUAUUGACUCAAAUGAUUGAUGAAAUGACUGAAAAAUCUACUAAAAAUAACGUAAAAUGAUAUAUAUAUAUAUAUAUAUAUAUAUAUAUAUAUAUAUAUAUAUAUAUAUAUAUAUAUAUAUAUAUAUAUAUUGUCGGAUGUAAUUAGGUAUUUGUUUUGGAGUUUGUGUAUUGGGGGCCAAUGGAUGAGUGGUAUAUGUGUUGUAACAAUUUGCAUAUAAUGUUAUUCUCUCGUUGCCAUUAGAUAGCAAUCAUAGUUUUUCUUUUGUUUUAGAUUUUCUACGUUAUAUUUUAGUGUUUUUGUGUUGUGCUUAUAUUCGUUUAUUUUAUCUAUGUCGAUUUUUACAACAAAUUGAAUCAAUUUAUUAGACAACUCUAGUUAGUAUCAACCGAUACCGACUCAUAUUUGAAGAAAAGAGAUAACCCAAAAGAUAAGGAACCCAAAAUUAUAUUCCCUUAAGUUUUGUGCAUUCUAUUUAUUACAAAUUUAAAAAUUAAAUUUAAUACACACAUUUUAAUAAAAAAAAUACUACUAUAUUUGAUUUUUGGCAAAUGCUAACAUGUGCUCAAGAAGGAUACAGAGUUGUUAAGAUAAAGUAUAGAUAUUGAGUGAGCUUAAUAAUUUAUGGAAUUGGACUCGAUCACAUUGGCACAUCUGAGGGACAAAGUCAAGCUUUAUUCCUUGUAACGCUGGUACACAGAUAGAAAUUAACUUCUGCGCAAUAUGAAUUUCAAAACAAUGAUGAUUCAAGAAUAAAUAUUAGAAAAGAUCUUAAGAUUGAAUCUUUAUCGGCAAGUGAGCACAAAAUCAACUUAGAGAAGAAGGAACAAAUUAGAUCAAGGUCAUUUAUAAUGAAUAACACACAUAUUGAUGGCGGAACAUACAAAAAACUGGCUCAUAUACGGCUGUGUUUAGUAACACAAACAAGUUAGAUUAUAAUUUGUUGGACUAGCUUAUAAGCUUGUUUUGAUAGAAUGUGAUGUGUUUGAUAAAAAGUUUUUUCACUAGUUUAUAGCGUUUUUUAAGAAGCUAAUCCAAGUAGCUUUUGAGCUUGUAGCUUAUAACUUUUUAUACUUUCUUCCAAUUUUAACCUUUUCUUAAUUUGAUUUUAUAUUUUUAUUAUAGAAAAAACUACCCAUGUUCUUCUGUGCGCUACCCACGUUUACCAAAUUAGGGCAUGGCUUUUUAAAUUUUCUUCUUCACUUUUUUGUUUUUUUAUCUUGCUCAUAAUUUAUAUAAUAUUUAAUUUUAAAAAUUUUAAUUUAUUGAAGAAAGUUUAGUUAAAUUAAAUUCAUAAAAAAAUCAAAGUUUUUAAAUAAAAAAAGCGAUUGAAUUCAUAAAUACAUUUAUCAUUUUGGAGAUGAAAAUAAUUUGAAAUAUAUUUAAAUAUUUAAAAAUAAAUGUGUUAAGUAAUAAAAAUUAUAUAUAUGAUAUUAAAAAAAUUAAACAAGCAUGUCCUUUUAUGUCAUUUUAUAUUUAUCAGCCACUUAACAGCUAAUUUUACCAAACACUUUUAAUUUUAAUAAGCCAACUUUUCAGCUAUCAGCUAUCAGCCAUCAGCCAUCAGCUAGCUUAAUAUUUAUUAAAUAUCUAAUGUAUUUAGUUUAUAUUAUUGACCAAUACAAUAGAUAUUCAAUCCAUCUAAAAUAUAGUUUUUUAUUUAUAAAUGUAACCCAGGAAAAUAGAUAACACGGAUGUGAAUUCACCACAAUUUAUCAAGCUUAAUGGUUGUAAUUUGAAGAUAGAUAGUCCAAAAUUCAGACCAAUAAAUAAUUGGACAUAUUCCUCCUUCUUAGUUAAGGCAAAUUCUAUGGUACAAUCAAUAUAUUUGAGUGUACCGGUACACACCCACUCUUUAAAUUAAUAGUUAAAUAAGUCGUUUUUUGAAGAAAAAUAUUAUUUUUUAUCAUUUAUAAUUAUAAUAACUAAAUCUUAUUCAUAAAAAAUGUCAACAAAAUAAAAUUAUUAUUUUUUGAAUUUUUAUCACUCAUAAUCGAGAACAUUCAUUAUUUUUUAUGAUAAUAUGUAAAAAAAAUUACUAUAAUUCUUAUAAACAAUGAAAUGGUGUUUUUUCUUAUGAGAUGAUGUUCUAUAAAUAAAUUUUGACAAAUAGCUAUUAAUUACAUAAAAAAUUAUCGUUAAUUAUAAAAUUAUGAAGCAAGAGUACCGAUACACCUCACUUUAUGAGUGUACCGUAGAAGUUUCCCUGUUAAUCAUACACAUUUAAAUUACCAUUGAAUUAUUAUGGAUGUGAGACUUUUGUUUUUUCCACCUAAACCUUAUGCAAACCAAACAGACUAUAAAUCAGUACGUACCAAGCCAUUUUUAAUGGAGUGCAAAAAUAUAAAUAUCUUAAUUGAGGCAAAGCAAAUAUUAUAUUUUCUUUUUGGGUGGGAGGCAAAUAUAUAUUACUAGUCCUUUUAAUUUAAAGUAAAUAUUAUAUAUAUAUGAUCGUUAUAUUACUAUCCGUUAUGUAUUCAGAUACAUACCGGUAUGGAAAAUAAAGAUACAGAACCUCACUACAAAAGUCACGUACAGUGCAUCAUAAUUACUACUUAAAUGUACAACCAUAUGCAACACAUUUAUCCUCUAUAUAUAACGUCGCUCUCCUAGAUGUUUUCUAUCAUUGAACAAUUUAUUGGUUGUGUCUUACAUUGUCUUUUAUUUGACUAUCUUUGUGCAAUAAAUCUCCCAAAACAUUCACUUGUUGGUUUUGUUCUAUAGUCUAGAGGUUGAAAAAUGGGUAGGUCACCUUGUUGUGAGAAAGUUGGAUUGAAGAAAGGACCAUGGACUGCUGAGGAAGACCAAAAACUCAUAGCUUAUAUUGAAGAAUUUGGUCAUGGAAGCUGGCGUGCAUUGCCUGCAAAAGCUGGUUGGUAUUUAAUAUAUUUUUCUUCAAGAUAUAUAUGAUAGUAUAUGUUUUGUGUAUAACUUUUUUUUUUAAUAAGUUUAUUAACAUUUUUGAUAAAAAGGGCUUCAAAGAUGUGGAAAGAGCUGCAGACUAAGAUGGACUAACUACCUUCGACCAGACAUAAAAAGAGGAAAGUUUAGUUUGCAGGAAGAGCAAACUAUUAUUCAACUUCAUGCCCUUCUUGGAAACAGGUAAAUACACACUUUUACACUAGCUGAGCACAUAUAAAGCAAAAAAAUAACUAACACUCUCUCAUAUACUCCAGUUAGUUACCACAUGAAUGAUUGCUUACUAUACUACAGUACUCAUCCUAACUUGGAAAGUUGACCACUAUAGUAGUAUAUGUAGCUUUUAUAUAUGGAUGUAUAUGUUACAACAACCAAUAUGCAGUUCAUAGUCUCUCAAAAAGAACAAAAGUCCUAAUUUCAAUAUUUCACCAAAAAUCUAAAUUAUUUAAGUUAAGAGAAUUAAAUCAUUUCUCUCUCUCUUGAAUCUACACGUUACUUUUAACUAACAUACAACUGAUCUAAGUAGUAAGGUACUCAGACGCUUAAAUGAUUAUCUUCAUUUAAGUCUCUUUCAAUUUUUUCCAUUUGAAAAGAUAAACACAUAAAAAAGAUUGAAAAAAUAACAAUUAAUGGUGGUAAAACACACUUAAUAGUGGGAUGUACUAUCUAUUUUUUGUGUAUAUCUUUCUAAAUAACAUCUGAUAUAAACGAUACUUUGUAUCUAUAAUAACUUUUUAUAAUAAAAAAGGACAUGUUGCACUUAUGAGGCAGUCCUAAAGCAUGUCCGUUCAAGGGCUUGAGGAGCCAGCAUGUGUUGAUGUACCUGGUUCAUAAGUUUUGCAUUUGAUAUAACUCACUCAUCCUUACAUAUUCAACUUAUAAAAUGAAUAUGAUGUCAUUUUUUAUUACUUUUUGUUAGUGGACUUAAAUUUUUCCAUUAAUAAAUGAUUACAUAGUGAUGUAUAGAUGAUUUGAGUUAUGUUUUUGUUAUGAUUGAUUAUGUGCACACAGAUGGUCAGCAAUAGCAGCACAACUUCCAAGAAGAACAGACAAUGAAAUCAAGAACUACUGGAACACACACCUCAAGAAAAGACUAACAAGAAUGGGAAUAGACCCAACAACUCACAAACCAAAACAGGAUCAUUCACCUGGAAGUUCCACUUCUCAGUACACCAAAGACUCAGCUAACCUCAGUCACAUGGCUCAAUGGGAGAGUGCUCGUUUGGAAGCAGAAGCAAGACUUGUUAGAGAAACCAAUAAACUGAAAGUUCAAAGACAACUUGAGUUUGAAUCCUC